AUCCAACUGAUGACUUCCAAAUAGGACGAAACGCUCUUCCUGGAU
rfam:Schistosoma margrebowiei strain Zambia genome assembly, scaffold: SMRZ_contig0000808